rnacentral:rRNA from 1 species
UGCAGUCGAGCGGAGGUGAGGUGCUUGCACCUUAUCUUAGCGGCGGACGGGUGAGUAAUGCUUAGGAAUCUGCCUAUUAGUGGGGGACAACAUUCCGAAAGGAAUGCUAAUACCGCAUACGUCCUACGGGAGAAAGCAGGGGAUCUUCGGACCUUGCGCUAAUAGAUGAGCCUAAGUCGGAUUAGCUAGUUGGUGGGGUAAAGGCCUACCAAGGCGACGAUCUGUAGCGGGUCUGAGAGGAUGAUCCGCCACACUGGGACUGAGACACGGCCCAGACUCCUACGGGAGGCAGCAGUGGGGAAUAUUGGACAAUGGGGGGAACCCUGAUCCAGCCAUGCCGCGUGUGUGAAGAAGGCCUUAUGGUUGUAAAGCACUUUAAGCGAGGAGGAGGCUACUGAGACUAAUACUCUUGGAUAGUGGACGUUACUCGCAGAAUAAGCACCGGCUAACUCUGUGCCAGCAGCCGCGGUAAUACAGAGGGUGCGAGCGUUAAUCGGAUUUACUGGGCGUAAAGCGUGCGUAGGCGGCUUUUUAAGUCGGAUGUGAAAUCCCCGAGCUUAACUUGGGAAUUGCAUUCGAUACUGGGAAGCUAGAGUAUGGGAGAGGAUGGUAGAAUUCCAGGUGUAGCGGUGAAAUGCGUAGAGAUCUGGAGGAAUACCGAUGGCGAAGGCAGCCAUCUGGCCUAAUACUGACGCUGAGGUACGAAAGCAUGGGGAGCAAACAGGAUUAGAUACCCUGGUAGUCCAUGCCGUAAACGAUGUCUACUAGCCGUUGGGGCCUUUGAGGCUUUAGUGGCGCAGCUAACGCGAUAAGUAAACCGCCUGGGGGAGUACGGGCGCAAGACUAAAACUCAAAUGGAAUUGACGGGGGGCCCGCCCAAA